rnacentral:rRNA from 1 species
CAGCCGCCGCGGGAAAACGGAGGGGGCUAGCGUUGUUCGGAAUUACUGGGCGUAAAGCGCACGUAGGCGGCUUUGUAAGUUAGAGGUGAAAGCCUGGGGCUCAACUCCAGAAUUGCCUUUAAGACUGCAUCGCUUGAACGUCGGAGAGGUGAGUGGAAUUCCGAGUGUAGAGGUGAAAUUCGUAGAUAUUCGGAAGAACACCAGUGGCGAAGGCGGCUCACUGGACGACUGUUGACGCUGAGGUGCGAAAGCGUGGGGAGCAAACAGGAUUAGAUACCCCAGUAGUCCCUGUCUCUUAUAC